GGAUCAUUGUUGAGCCUGCCCAGUAGAAAGACCCACAGAAAGGA
rnacentral:rRNA from 1 species